GGAGAGCCGGGACAGGGAAGAGAUCCCAGGGGAGGGACAGACCCCUCAGGAGAGCCCGGGAAAGGGAGGAGAUGCCAGUCUAGGGGUGUCUCCCAUGGGAAUAUCCCAGUCCAGGGGUCCUCUCCCAUGGGAAUAUCAUGGGCUAGGGGUGUCUCCCAUGGGAAUUUCCCAGUGCAGGGUCCUCUCCCAUGGGAAUAUCAUGGGCUAGGGGUGUCUCCCAUGGGAAUUUCCCAGUGCAGGGGUGUCUCCCAUGGGAAUAUCAUGGGCUAGGGGCCUCUCCCAUGGGAAUAUCAUGGGCUAGGGGUGUCUCCCAUGGGAAUAUCAUGGGCUGGGGGUGUCUCCCAUUGGAAUAUCAUGGGCUAGGGGUGUCUCCCAUGGGAAUAUCAUGGGCUAGGGGUGUUUCCCAUGGGAAUAUCAUGGGCUAGGGGCCUCUCCCAUGGGGGUAUCCCAGGCUAGCGGUUGCUCCCAUGGAAUGCUCAUUGGAAUAUCCCAGUCCAGGAGCCUUUCCCGUGGGAAUAUCCUGGUCUAGGGGUGGCUCCCAGAGGGGAUGUCCCAGGGUAGGGGUGGCUUCUGUGGGGGUAUCCUGGGAUAGGGGUGUCUCCCAUGGGAAUAUCCCAGCCCAGGGGCCUCUCCCUUGGGAAUAUCCCAGUCCUGGGGUCUCUCCUGUGGGAAUAUCCCAGCCCAGGGACCUCUCCCUUGGGAAUAUCCCAGUCCAGGGACCUCUCCCUUGGGAAUAUCCCAGUCCUGGGGUCUCUCCCUUGGGAAUAUCCCAGUCCUGGGGUCUCUCCCAUGGGAAUAUCCCAGUCCAGGGACCUCUCCUUUGGGAAUAUCCCAGUCCAGGGGCCUUUCCCAUGGGAAUAUCCCAGUCCAGGGAUCUCUCCCAUUGGAAUAUCCCAGCCCAGAGAUCUUUCCCAUGGGACUAUCCCAGUCCAGCAGCCUCUCCAUGGGAAUAUCCCAAUCCAUAGGCCUUUCCCAUGGGACUAUCCCAGCCCAGGGGUCUCUCCCAUCGGAAUAACCCAAUCCAGGGGUCUCUCCCAUGGGAAUAUCCCAGUCCAGGGGCCUUUCCCAUGGGAAUAUCCCAGUCCAGGGGCCUUUCCCAUUGGAAUAUCCCAGUCCAGAGGUCUUUCCCAUGGGACUAUCCCAGCCCAGGGGUCUCUCCCUUGGGAAUAUCCCAAUCCAAGUGCCUUUCCCAUUGGAAUAUCCCAAUCCAGGGGCCUUUCCCAUGAGAAUAUCCCAGCCCAGAGGUCUUUCCCGUGGGAAUAUCCCAGUCCAGGGGUCUCUUCUGUGGGAAUAUCCCAGUCCUGGGGUCUCUCCUGUGGGAAUAUCCCAAUCCAUAGGCCUUUCCCAUUGGAAUAUCCCAGUCCUGGGGCCUUGCCCAUUGGAAUAUCCCAGUCCAGCGGCCUCUCCUGUGGGAACAUCCCAGUCCUGGGGCCUUUCCCAUUGGAAUAUCCCAAUCCAUAGGCCUUUCCCAUUGGAAUAUCCCAGUCCUGGGGCCUUUCCCAUUGGAAUAUCCCAGCCCAGGGGUCUCUCCCAUGGGAAUAUCCCAGUCCAGGGGUCUCUCCCAUGGGAAUAUCCCAGUCCUGGGGCCUCUCCAAUGGGAAUAUCCCAAUCCAAGGGCCUUUCCUGUGGGAAUAUCCCAGUCCAGUGGCCUCUCCUGUGGGAAUAUCCCAAUCCAUAGACCUUUCCCAUUGGAAUAUCCCAAUCCAUAGUCCUUUCCCAUUGGAAUAUCCCAAUCCAAGGGCCUUUCCCAUGGGAAUAUCCCAAUCCAUAGUCCUUUCCCAUUGGAAUAUCCCAGUCCAGGGGCCUUUCCAUGGGAAUAUCCCAGUCCUGGGGCCUCUCCUGUGGUAAUAUCCCAAUCCAAGGGCCUUUCCCUUUGGAAUAUCCCAAUCCAAGUGCCUCUCCCAUUGGAAUAUCCCAAUCCAAGUGCCUUUCCCAUGGGAAUAUCUCAGUCCAGGUGCCUUUCCCAUUGGAAUAUCCCAGUCCAGGAGUCUCUCCAAUGGGAAUAUCCCAAUCCCGAGGUCUCUCCCAUGGGAAUAUCCCAGUCCUGGGGUCUCUCCAUGGGAAUAUUCAGGACUAGGAGUCUCUCCAUGGGAAUAUCCCAGUCCAGGUGCCUUUCCCAUGGGAAUAUCCCAACCCAGGGGUCACUCCAAUGGGAAUAUCCCAAUCCAGGGGCCUUUCCCUUUGGAAUAUCCCAGUCCAGCGGCCUCUCCUGUGGGAAUAUCCCAGUCAUGAGCUCACUCCCAUGGGAAUAUCCCAGUCCAGGAGUCUCUCCCUUGGGAAUAUCCCAAUCCAUAGGCCUUCCCCAUUGGAAUAUCCCAGUCGGGAGUCUCUCCCUUGGGAAUAUCCCAGUCCAGGGGCCUUUCCCAUUGGAAUAUCCCAAUCCAUAGGCCUUUCCCAUGGGAAUAUCCCAGUCCAGGGGUCUCUCCCCCCUCCUGCCAGCCCAGCUGGGCUCCUCCAGGUGCUUUCCAGCUUUUCCUCCGAGAGCUGAAGCCAAAAAAAAAAAAAAGAGGAAUCUUUGUGUUCUUUGUGCCUCAAUUUUUUUAAUAUAAUUGUUAAUAAACAUUUAAUAAACUGAUUCCCAAA